ensembl:lncRNA
AAAUGCUCCGCGCCGAAUACAUACAUAUAUGUGUGUAUAUAUAUAUAUAUAUAUAUAUAUAUACGUAUAUAUAUGUAUAUAUACACUUAAUAAAAGUUGCUCUGAGCAGCUCAUUUGAUCCAGGGCAGUGGGGCAUCCAGUAUGACCAAAGUAAGGUCUGCACCAGUGUAUGCCCAUUGGCAACCUUAUUAGUCGCCGUGAUUACUGACAGAAUAUCGAUUAAGGAUUAUCUGAGGAGAGCUUGAGUUAAGAAACAGCAGCCUGUAGGGACAGUGUGUAAGAGGAGUUCCAGAAUGAAAGGAAAAGGCUGUUUUCAUUAGCAGGCUGUGGAGAAAUGUAUUAAGAAGCAAGGCUCUAGUGAUAAGUAGGAAAGCACAGAUGGAAGGAGGAAGAUAAAAUGUGUAAGACUCAAUUUUAGAUUGUGUUUAGAUACCACUCUGAAGAAACCACAGAAAAGCAAACCCUGGAAAUAAGCCAGGGAAUUUCUAAUGUUAGUGUUCUGGAGCAGAUGUGUAUAUAUCCAGGAGCCAUGCAUCAGUUCCUCAGAGUUUCCUGUUCAAUUAAAGUUAUGUUCUGGCUCUGAAGCUGAAGAGGCGGAUCUUGGAUAAAACCCUAGAAAACAAGACUCUCCCAGUUCUCUGUGGAUAGCAGCAAUCCUUUAAUAAAGGAUCAGAGGAAUUUUAUAAUGCUCUUGGCCAGUAUUUUCUUCUCUGUAUGCCAGUUAGUGGUCACACUUUGUACUCUGUGGAGAUGGAUUGGAAUCCUCUGAAAUAAAUCCCACUGUAGAAAUGAAAGAUGUUAUUAAUGGCAAGAUUGAAUAUCAUGAAGAAGAAAAGGUUUCCUGUGUUUAGGGCUAUGAGGAAACAGGAUGUGAGAUAAUUAGCC